UAAUUUGAAAAAGGAAUGCGCUCGUUUUUCGCCGUUAAAUGUUGCAGCCUAAUUUUGGAUCGAGAAUUAAGUGCGACGAAGAUGGCCGUUAAUAAUAGUUCUACUACUUUAAGAACACGGUUCAGAUUUGGAUAACGACUUCGAAGGCAUUCGCAGGAGACCAAACAGAGAAAGAGAGGGAGACACAAAACCACCUGUCUCGGUGUCACACAUGAGGAGUUGAGGAGGAGAUGAAGUCAGUGAAUAUGACCUGGCCUGGGGGAGUUUCCAGAAGAAGGCCCAGAAUCACUGGAUGCCAGGAGUGGAGAUCCUUCGUUGCUGCCCUACAUGAUAGGAGGCAUCGGGCAGUAGAUGCUGUAAUUUGAAACGGAAGGUGUCCUGCCAAUAAAUUUUCAUCCCUCCUGAACUGCCUUGCCUGUCUGCACCCAGUCAUCUGUUCCUGAGCAUUUUCAUUUUCCUCUAUUUUUCAUCAUCGUUUGUUUCGGCCUGUAUGAAGUGAAUUUCACAUUGAUUGGUGGAGCUGCUAAGUUGGCAUUACAGGGCCACGCCGGGGUAUGAUCCUUUGGGUUGAACAUCAUGACUGCUAGUUGGUCGGCAAAGGUGAUGGGAUCGAUCAAUGUCACAUGGAGUAAGAUCGAUACCAAUCUGCUUUGCUACAUUUCGAACAAUCUCAUACGGAUACGGAUAUUAUUGCGACAGGAGUACUGCUCGAUGUGGUCAAGCCUAUUUGACAAAGCAGUAUGGUGUUAGUC